UACGAAGGGUGCAAACGUUGCUCGGAAUCAUUGGGCGUAAAGCGCACGUAGGCGGCUCUGCAAGUCGGAUGUGAAAUCCCUCGGCUCAACCGAGGACGUGCAUCCGAAACUGCGGAGCUUGAGUAUGGAAGAGGGUCGCGGAAUUCCCGGUGUAGAGGUGAAAUUCGUAGAUAUCGGGAGGAACACCAGUGGCGAAGGCGGCGACCUGGGCCAAUACUGACGCUGAGGUGCGAAAGCGUGGGGAGCAAACAGG
rnacentral:rRNA from 1 species